CAGGUGGUGGAUGAUAAUGAGGAAAAAGAAGUGAAGUCAACCUGAAUCAGGGAAGAGCCCCGGACUGUGGGCAGAAAUUAUGUGCCAUGCAGACUUCACUAUCCUUCUUGGUGAUCUCAACGGAGCCAAACGUUCUUUUUACAGUCGGACUAGAUUUUUUUUUUCCCCUUGGAGCCUGAGCACACUUACUGAGCACACUGCUUUGGAUGCAGAAUGAUGAUCUCACGUGUGAAGUUGAACUUGUCCAGAAAAACGUCUUGAAUCUGUGGUGCAAAUGAAUCCAUUUGCAAGUGCUGCUUGGUUGCUGCUGAGGUGUUCAUAGAUGCUGCGAUUGUAAGGAAAUAAUUGAAGGGUGUCGUGGGUCCAGUAAAGUCCAUCAAGUGCAGUUUUGGAGGAACACGUCAACCGAGGAGCAGCUAGGGGUCUCUUUAAAGAUGAGACCCUUUCUGCAGGACACUAUAAAAAUGGCUCAGCCUGAGGGGGACAGGUGUGUAGCUUUUGAGGAGGGGCCUUCCCUUCCUUCUUCAGAGCCAUCCUCAAAGACAGCAAGAAGUCUUGGGGAAUGGUGGGAGCCAUUGAGGAGAUAGGCUGACACAUCCGUUGCUCAAUUAGGGCUUUGAAAGAGAGACAGCAAGGUUUUAUGUGCUUCUUCCACCUGUUUCUGGAAAAUAAAAGGACAAUAUUGCUCAAACCUGGGGUGAAGUAGCUCUUUUCCUUGCAAAGCCUAGCAGCUGAGACAUGCCCCUCCUUAUAAGAUGACAUUCCAUUGAGUCCUGGAAAUUUGAGACGGCUGAUUUCAAAGCUUUAAAAUCAGUUUAAAGUAAAGCAAUUGUGAAUGUGGCCAUUCUAGAACUUUGCCUGUGCAUUGUGAAUAAAGACGCUUUGUGGCUCAAA